rfam:Musa acuminata subsp. malaccensis Doubled-haploid Pahang (DH-Pahang) genomic chromosome, chr11
GAAGUCUGCGAUGAGGAUAACAGAGCUCCCUCUUCUGAGAUUAAACAUUGAGGACGCUCGCUGGCAGAAUCGAACCAUUACAAAUACUCGCCGCCACUGAGUCA